rnacentral:rRNA from 1 species
AACGAACGCUGGCGGCAGGCCUAACACAUGCAAGUCGAACGCCGUAGCAAUACGGAGUGGCAGACGGGUGAGUAACACGUGGGAACGUACCCUUCGGUUCGGAAUAACUCAGGGAAACUUGAGCUAAUACCGGAUACGUCCGAGAGGAGAAAGAUUUAUCGCCGAGGGAUCGGCCCGCGUCUGAUUAGCUUGUUGGUGAGGUAACGGCUCACCAAGGCGACGAUCAGUAGCUGGUCNGAGAGGAUGAUCAGCCACAUUGGGACUGAGACACGGCCCAAACUCCUACGGGAGGCAGCAGUGGGGAAUAUUGGACAAUGGGCGCAAGCCUGAUCCAGCCAUGCCGCGUGAGUGAUGAAGGCCCUAGGGUUGUAAAGC